ensembl:lncRNA
GUCUAUCUGAAUUGAUCCUUUGAAAAGUCUGAUGCUUUUGAUUUCUAGAUGAAUAAGUACACAAGAACUAUGUACUGUAAGUUCUGUGUGGACAAGACAGACUAGGACUUUUGGAAUUAAUUGAAUCAUCCUUCUUAUCAGAAACAUGAGCUGGUAUAUACUGUAUUAUUUUUAUUCUUUAAACAUUAGAUGCACUUCUUUCAUAUCUCUAGUUAGAAAGCUAUGCAUAAGCAUAACUAUAGCCUAGACUCACAGCAACACAGACCCAGAGAUCUUUAUGAGGAUUGUGUCUGCUGUAUAAACUAUCAUGAUUGACACAGAAAUUUUUAACCCUCUCCUGAACAGAUACAAAUUACAUACUUAAUAAAAUAGAAAUUAAUUAUGAGUAAUGAGAAAAUUAUUCCAAUUAGGCACCAAGAUAUCUGACAUAUUUGAAUUGGUGAAAGUAAGACAUUAAAAUUGCAAGGAGCUUCAGUCUUUGCAUAAACAUGAAUUCUUCUUCAAGCACCUUUAGCAGUGAAAGCUAAAUUGAGCUAUGGUAUUAGUAGGUGUAAACUCCAUUGCUUUCAAAAAAAGAUUUGCAUGAUGUAUGCCAUCACUGAAUUCAGUGCAGUCAUUUAAUUGAAUAGAUCUUAUCUCCUGAAAUCAUCUUUGAGAUCUAAGCCAGUUUUCCAGGUUUUCUAGACAGAAGUAUGUUUUCUUAGAAACUUAAACUGCAUAACUUUAAUCAUUUUUAAGACUCUUGGCACCAGUGAUAUGUAUAAUUCACAAGUUUCAAACUGCAGACACAUUAAGGCAAAUGUAGCUACUUACUGUGUGCACACAAAUACAUACAUAAAUAUUGUUCACAGUUCAAUACAUAACACCUUCUAUUUUUCUACUGAAAUAUAGAGGCAGCAUUUUAUGACCUCCAUGGUCAUAAGAAAUGUGAAGAUGGAUAGCUGGAUUUUGGUAUUUGGGUCAUGAUUCCCACAUGUAUUAAGUACUGAAAUGCAUACAUAAAUUUUAACAAUGAUUAGAAUUUUAACUAGAAAAGCAUCUUCUAAUUAAUUUUCUCCUCUGCUUUCAUUCUUGAGAAUCAAAAUUACUUGUCUGAAUUUAGUCACAAGUACAGUGGAGGCUUUUUAGAGCAGCUCAUUUACAAAUCUCCACCACAACAGACAAGUAGUCACCUCUAAGAUCUCCAAACACCCUCAGGUAAAAUGGCAAUGCCAUGUUUACCAGGUAAUUGUUCUUUAGGGCGCCCCUAAUUUUAAUAAAAUCUAUUUGUCUUCUGUAUCUGUGAAGGGAGCCAAGAUGCUGGUUGUUAUUCUUGUCUUUUCCCCAGUUGUUCAUUCCCAUUUAUCUACACUGUAAUAGCUAAUGCAUUCAGUAAAAUGCUCUUUCAGUACUUUUCAUAUGUUGACACAUCAUGAACAGCUACUCGUACUUAUGAGACACUCUUGGCUUCUGUAGAAGUUUAAAGCAGGGAAUGGAACAAAAAGAUUCGAAUCAGGCAAAUUAAGAAUGAUCUCUAAGAUAAACAUGUAUUAUUCAGUAACCUUAUUUAAAUUCCAGGAAGGCUGAAGACCAUACCUCUUGGUUUGUGUUGCCCAAAGCCUGCUCUUCAUCUGCUGUGACAUUUUUAAUGUAUUACUGGUGGUGACUGACUUUCCCAUUCAUUUCCAGGCAUACCUCUUUUCAUACUCUUCCGCAAUGCCUUCAGACGAUUGUCUCAGUUAAGCUUUGUGACUUUUGGCAUGAAUUUUACCAGCUCCAAGAAGGAAGAGAAUGUUGCAUAUUUUCUCUAAGCCAACUCAAAUCAUUCGUCUAUUUCUACUUCAUUCUGCUGUCCUUGUCUAAAUUGAUUGGAAAAAUUUACCCCUUGCACCUGACUUUCUGUAGCCUCAGUAAUACCUUUGUAGACUCAUUAUUUCUGAUCUUUUUUUUUUGACAUGUACUCUCUUCCUGUUUAAUGAAGGAGGAGAAAGAAGAGGAAAAAGACUGCCUUCAAUCUUUCUGCUGGAGCUGAUGCUAUAUACUUUCUUGUGGAAAAAAGUUGUGUGAAAAAAUAAUCUGUAAGUGUGAAUGGCACGAAAAUGGAAUUAUCCAUCAAAUGGAGGGAGUGAUUCCUCCAAGUCAGGUAUGUAAGUUUGGGUGGCAAAAGCAAAUGGCUUCAUAAUUUUGAGGAAUUUCUCUCCCUCUCCUUCUCCCAUGACUGAAGAUCAUUUAUCCUUUGAGAAAGAAAAAGAAGGCUGGUAUAAAUUAAGAAUGGUAAUGUAAAAGCUUAUACCCACUGCAUAUAAAUCUUUCAAAUUAAUACAAGCAUUAAAUUGCCAAAGUUUUUUCCAUAUACUGCAAAUAUUAAACAUGACAUGCCUGCUAGGGUUGGUAUAAAGUUUUGUCAACAUUUUUGGCAUACAGUUUCUCAGCCUGGGGUCAAUAUUUUCUUGACCAAAUUUUGUUGUUUCAGUUGUCUUUUACCUCAUAUAUUGUAACGCAAACAUUUCCCAGAAAAAAGAAAUUUGGCAGGCUAUUAGUCCAUAAUGUGGUCUAAUGCCUUUGGGUAUUUUUUUAAACGUAAAUCAUUGAGAUAUUUAAGGUUUGAGGUUUAAGAACUGUACACAAACUUUAACAACUUCUUUUAAAAAUAUUUAGUAUGCAUAUUUACUACAUAUGUAUCUUAUAGAGACUAGAGAUUAAACUGGAGAUUACUUGCUAAAAUAUGCAAACUGCUGUCCAUGAAUAAACAUCCUCAUGAACUCCUAUUGAAAGUUUCUUAUUUAAAAAAUGUUGUUUAAAACUACAAUGAAAGCAAAGGGAAGUAAGAUGGGAAGAGGAAAAAAGCAAUGUUUAAGUAACUUUAAUGAUUUAACUUGGCUACAGAAAGUAAAGAAGUUCAUUUUCUUUCUCCUGGGAUCUCAUCCAAAGCCCACUAUGGUCAAAAGAAGGCUUUCCACCUAUUCUCAUUUGUGCUACACUCAGACAGUGCUCUGUUGCUCAAGUAUUGAGCUAUGCUGAUGUCAUGUAGCAGAAGAUCCCGCAGCACAGCAGCCCACCUAUCUGCCAUGUGUAUUACAUAGGUUUCAAGAUAGACAGGAUCCAGAGAACUGAGAUCUCUCACAAGCAUUUAAAACCUACCGCUUGUUUUCCUUCAACAUUUGUCAGAUCUCCCACUGGUGAUCAAAGAAUGCCAAACUGAAAGCAGACCUAUAUUUGUGAUUGUUUGCUACCCUCUGCGAUAAGUUUAUCCAUCAGUUUCUUUCCUGUUGACUUUCAUGUGCGCUAUCACCCCAGGAUGUUAUAUUUGCUCAAACAGAAAAUGGAAUUACAAGCAGAAGAAGCCGCUGCAUGGAAGGUCUGCUGCUGUGCUGCCCGCUGGAGACUUGCCUUGCGGUGAGGGCUACAGACACAAAAACAGCUUGGCACUGGGAGCUCCAUCUUGCUGUGGCAUAAGCUGGCUUCCUGCUGACUUCAGAUCUGCCUUCACACAGGUUUCUCUAGAUUGAGAUGAUAGAGUGGAGGCAAGUACUGUGCACUGGACUAGAGAAGUGUGUCAGCCAUAAAGGACAGCACACAGCAGCUGUGCUUUGUCUGGCACAGCAUUUUGUAGGGUUAAAAGGGAGUGACUGGAGCGUAGAGCCAUGCCAGCCAGUUUAGUCUCACCCAAGAGGUGCCAGAUUUGGUUCAAUGUGGUGAUGAAACUGCUGAGGCUUUAUAAACCUAGAUUUACUUAAGGAGGGAUUGACAGAGCAAACUAUUACUAGGGUUUGUCACAGCAACCUGUAUGUCCAGAGUGGAAGUGCUAAGCCUACAAUAGGAGGAGCGUAGAGCUGUGGACCCCUGUUUGGGGUCCUUUCCCCCUGUUUGGGGGCCUUUCAACUACAACUUUCUUGCAGUGCAGUUUCUUCUACACAUCUCCGGUUUCACAUGAUAUAAUAUUUGGCCCAGUAAAUGCAAGGCUUGGGUUUGGUCUCUAGUCAGAUGGUACCCAAAAAUAAGCAUCAAAAUAUCCACCGCUUAUUAAAAAGUCAAGAAGAAGAAAGAACAGACACAAAAUACAGUUUAGUCACCAUAAAGAAACCACCACCAAAAAGGCUGGGUAUGUAUCAGAUCAUCUUUUUGCAGAACAUUUCUUCUGAGAUAUAUGAAGGUGGGAAGACAGCCACUGGUAGAAUUUCCCCUAUUGCAAUGCCUCUUUAUUAUUUCAUUAAAAUCCUUGUAAUACACAAAACAAUAAAAGAAAGCAACUUGAAAGUUCACAAUACACAAGAUUCAUCUUGCAUUCAUAGAACGUGUGUAACUCAUUUUGUGCUGAUGUUUGCUUGUUUAAGAAUGCACACCUGCUCAUUACUACUUGUGGAAAAUAAGUUUAUUAGCCAAGGAAUGUCUGGACUCUUACUGGAAAUCCCAUGUAGAUGCAGUUAUGCUUCCUGUUAAGACUCUUCUUCAGUAAAAAAUUUGCUCCCACUGUAGUAUUCCAGGGGCAAAAGAAGCAGCAAAUGAUAUGCAGGAAAGAUGCAGGUAAAAAUAUUCACAGAGAUUAAAAACGCUCCAUGCCUGAUCCUGAUGAUUCAGUGCAUCUUUCCCUGUUGAAUGUAAGUAUUCUGUUUCAUACUACAUUUAUGUCAGAUCAAAUACUCUACUCAGAAGCUGGGACUUUACUAGUGCCUCAUUUGUAUUUGUUUUUACUUUGAAUCAAAACAUAAAGGUGGUGACAGAAAAAAUUCUGAUGCUUUGCAUAGGGUUAAUAAUUGAGAGCCAUUCAGCUUUGUUAGUCAUCCAUUUGAAGGGAAUUUCCUUAUGCAAAGAGAUUGCUCCACUUAGGACAAAACCAUUUUUUUUCUUCAUCUCUGAACUCCAAAUGAGCAGGAGAGUGGAAAGAGCAAGGGAAGGCAAAGGAGCAAAGUGGGAAGCUUUGAUCGUUUCACUGAGAGGCUGAGGCAGUUUGAAAUGAAAGAAUCUCUCACCACAUUAAAAAAGGAGGGAGAAGAAGAAAGGAGAAAGGAAGAAAAAGAAGGAGAAACAGAGAGCACAGUGUGACAGAAACAAUGUGAAGCAGGAGCCCAAGCCUCACAGGAAGGGUUGUUGCCAGACCCUACAGAAGCUUUUUUGCAAAAAGUAGAGAAGGGGCAUCUUAGUUUCUUUAACAGACUCCAUAAAACCAAUGAAUUGCCAAGAGAAGCAAAGAAAUAACAGGAAGAAAAUGUAUUCAGGUGACUUUUCACUUUGCCUUGCUCGUUGCAUCUUUUGUGCAAUCUAGAUGAUAAAAUAAUUGAGUCUAAUCAGCCUGCAGCUAUAGAAAAGCUUGUGUCAAAGCUAUCAGGCAAGCUGCAAGAAGAACACUCCCCCAAAGUCUUAAGGGGUAGGCCUGAGAGAUCCUAUUUCACAGUGGAGAGCCAUACCCUGGGUGUGUGAGGGCUUUGCAGCCCACUUGGUUCAGGGUGAACUUAACAGAAAAGGCAUCAAACAGAAACUGGUUCAAAACUCAUGUGGAGCAGGUCUGCUAAUGCUGUGUCUCCAUUUUGAAAUGAGCAGAAAAUUAAUAACUAUAAUCUGUGGAUGUAAUUUUGUCAUUACCAGUUUGACUGGUACUUUAUUCCAGCCCAACUAAAUGAAUAGGACUUCCUGCUGGUCAAAGUGCUAUUACACUUGAGUCAGGAUCUACUACCCUUAUUGCAGCCUGAUUUUCUUCGCUUUAAUCUUUUAAGUUAUAAUGCCUACAACACCUGCUAGUAAGCACCCUGUUGGCAGGCCAACAAAUAGAGGUGGGUAUACCAGAAAGCAAGUCUAUCUGUGCCUGGACUGUUGACAGAGAUCCUAAUGGACUAUGAGUACACAACCCAAACACACUAAUAUGUGAGCAUUUUUCCUGGCAGUAUGUAUUUAAACAUGAAAAAUCUGUGAUUUGCUGAUGGCCAAUAAAACAGGAAACCUGAACCCUUCUUAAUUUGCAGAAAGAUUAUUCUUUGCAAAAUAAUUAUUACUACAUAUGUGAUGAUUAGUAUGCUUUUAUUUUUGCUAGAAUAGGCAUAGCAUAAUGGAAACCUCUACUGUGAUAAUUUCUGUUUAAAGAACUGCAGCAUGUAAGUUAUUAUAAACAGUGUAUUAAUUCAAUGCCUGAAUAAC